rnacentral:rRNA from 1 species
UACGAAGGGGGCUAGCGUUGCUCGGAAUCACUGGGCGUAAAGCGCACGUAGGCGGCUUCUUAAGUCAGGGGUGAAAUCCUGGAGGCUCAACUCCAGAACUGCCUUUGAUACUGAGGAGCUCGAGUCCGGGAGAGGUGAGUGGAACUCCGAGUGUAGAGGUGAAAUUCGUAGAUAUUCGGAAGAACACCAGUGGCGAAGGCGGCUCACUGGCCCGGUACUGACGCUGAGGAGCGAAAGCGUGGGGAGCGAACAGG